GAGAUCUGAAGGAUGAGUUAGAAUGAGCCAAGCAAUAGGGAAGGGGAGCAUUUCAGGCAGAGGAAACAGCAUAAGCAAAGAUCUGAGGAUCACAUUCCCCCAGCAUUGGAUGAAAACCUGCUGUUUGAGCUAGGAGAAAGAAACUGAGGUUCAAGGAGGCAAAGUAUCCAAGGUCAUGGGCUCAUUCAUUCCUUCACUGACUCAGCAACCAUUAGUCGAGCACGUGCUGCUGGCAGGCUGGCCCUCACUGCUACAGAAACAGUGGUGAAUGACACACCCACCCCCGACUCAGGAGUCAUGGUUCAAACCCGCUGCUUCCAGUCCCCAUCCCAGCGCCCCUCCCAAUACACUGAACUGCAGUUGGA